GCGUGGCCAGUGUUUCCCUGGAGUUCUCUGCCGCCCCUCCUCUUCGUGCUUCCAGCUGGAGUUGUUUUAGACUCCUGGAUCCCCUCUGUGGAGAAGCAAAGGGAGAGAACGGCUGGCGUGUGGAUGUAGAAACCUGGAUGACUGGAAUGUUUAUACAAUGUGUGUUAAARCAAGCGUGAUGAAGAUGCCUUGUAAAAAGGAGAGGACAGAAAUCGCCCCUGCAGUACCUGCUGAGCCACCUGCUCAUGUCCUAAYGAGCUGGACGAGUUUGUGCCACAGGAUGCCAGAGCCGACCUGUGCCUUAUCCUGGAUGUGACCGCCACGGAAAAGGGCACAGCAGGACCCCGAGGACCCUGCCACAGGUUGUGGACAGCCAGGAACCAGACCCACGCUCRGUGAAGAAGAGGCAGAUGCUCUUCUCCUGCAAGCACCGCUUGUGUUGYCAGCCAGCCUUCGCUCCUAGAAGUCUGCAGGUGCUGUGGAGGUGGCAGGAAAUCAGAGGUUGCUAGAGCCACACAUCUGCUGCUGUUAACUGCUCAAUACCUGGCAAAAGAACAAAAGUGAAAAAUGUUGGCUUUGAAAACCUCAGAAAAACAAGAAUUGAUGGUGCAAGCACGGAGGGUACCCAGA